UUGCUGCAGCUGUUUCCUCCACAGAAGGGGCUAGAAGGUGCUGGGGGAGGAGAGGAAGAGAAGGGAUCUUCAUCACCAUGAGGAUCAGAGAACAGUUUCAGCCACACUGAGUAAUACGAAUGCUUUCAAACUGAUGUGACACGCGCUGGACACUGUUUGCUGCCAAGGUGACUCAGCAAAGGCAGAAAACAAUACAUGCAGAUACUUGCACGGAGCAGGAUUAUGGGCCUCAGCGAGUGUCCUUGAAUGGCCAGCAGCUUUUACAUGCCCUCCUUUGGGCUCUGGAAAUAUCUUUCUGAAGUACAAGGAGGUGCCUUCAGCCAGUGCUUCAAUAGGUGUCAGCCUCGGUGAUGCUGGUGUUGCAGCUGGGAGGCUGUGCAGAGCCCAGGGAGUCCCAGAAAUUCAGUGGAAAGCAGCAGCAAUUCUCUCCCUCUCAAUGUCACUUCACAGCCCUCACUGAUGAUGCCAUUCAGCUGGAUGAAAAAGAGGCCUCCGGUGUCAACAGAGUGGAAUAAACACCCCGUCAAAAGCAAACCAGCAAUUUUUUAUUGUCGAGUCCAAGAAUAAUGCCAAUUUCUAAUGUUAUUUGCAACUUUAGAUUUAUGAUUAUAUGUCAGGUUUUGUCGAUUUGUCUAGAAAACCAGACUGCCAUUUAAAAAGUAACAUUACUAUUACUUUAAAAUAACUCGUGGCUCUAUUUUUUCAUCUGCAUGCGUUUUUUGCAUGCAUGGGAGACAAAGAAAAACCAGCAGGUUUGCGUCCAAGAGUGACCAAAGCCAUAGGCAGGCAUUACACUGAGCAGGUUUGUCUUUGUGCAGAGCUGCGCUGCCUAAGGGAGAACAGUUACUAGUGGUUUUUCUGCUGUUCAUCUUUACCGACUCCAGGUUGGAAAGCCCCAGAGUCACCAGUAAGGAU